rnacentral:rRNA from 1 species
AGCAGCCGCGGUAAUUCCAGCUCCAAUAGCGUAUAUUAAAGUUGUUGCAGUUAAAAAGCUCGUAGUUGAAUUUCGGGGUCAGUAGGCUGGUCAUGCCACAGGUAUGUACUGGUCUCACUGAUUCCUCCUUCCUGAUGAACCGUAAUGCCAUUAAUUUGGUGUUGCGGGGAAACUGGACUGUUACUUUGAAAAAAUUAGAGUGUUUAAAGCAGGCUAACGCUUGAAUACAUUAGCAUGGAAUAAUGAAAUAGGACGUUCGAUCCUAUUUUGUUGGUUUCUAGGAUUGACGUAAUGAUUAAUAGGGAUAGUUGGGGGCAUUAGUAUUCAAUUGUCAGAGGUGAAAUUCUUGGAUUUUAUUGAAGACUAACUACUGCGAAAGCAUUUGCCUAAGGAUGUUUUCAUUUAAUCAAGAACGAAAGUUAGGGGAUCGGAAGACGAUCAGAUACCGUCGUAGUCUUAACCAUAAACUAUGCCGACUAGGGAUCGGAUGAUGUUAUUUUUAAUGACUCA